UGCUGGUCCCCAGAUGGGGGCAUGUGCACGCUCUGUUAACACAUCCACUCACACCCUGUGCACCCUCUGCAGUUCUAUGGUUGGGGGGGACCUGUCCUCUCCUGCUGUGGUUCUGCAUCUUUACAUACACACUGUAACAAAGUCUCAUGGAAUGCAUGCCGCGUUUAACGCAAUAAAAUACAACUUUCAGCAACGGAUCUCUUGGCUCUCGCAUCGAUGAAGAACGCAGCGAAAUGCGAUAAGUAAUGUGAAUUGCAGAAUUCAGUGAAUCAUCGAAUCUUUGAACGCACCUUGCGCCCUUUGGCAUUCCGAAGGGCAUGCCUGUUUGAGUAUCAUGAACACCUCAACUCUUCAUGGUUUUCCAUGAUGAGCUUGGACUUUGGGGGUCUUGCUGGCCUGCGGUCGGCUCCUCUCAAAUGAAUCAGCUUGCCAGUGUUUGGUGGGCAUCACAGGUGUGAUAACUAUCUACGCUUGUGGUUUUCCACCAGGUAACCUUCAGCAGUGGAGGUUCGCUGGAGCUCACAGAUGUCUCUCCUCAGUGAGGACAGCCCUUUGAAUGUUUGAUCUCAAAUCAGGUAGGACUACCCGCUGAACUUAAGCAUAUCAA
rnacentral:rRNA from 1 species